ACGGGGGCCCGGCACAAGCGGAGGAGCAUGUGGUUUAAUUCGAUGAUACGCGGAGGAACCUUACCUGGGCUCGAACGUAAGAUGACUGUAGGUGAAAGCUUACAUCUCUUCGGAGCAUUUUACGAGGUGCUGCAUGGUUGUCGUCAGCUCGUGCCGUGAGGUGUCGGGUUAAGUCCCAUAACGAGCGCAACCCCUACCUUUAGUUGCCAUCAGGUUAAGCUGGGGACUCUAAAGGAACUGCCUACGCAAGUAGUGAGGAAGGCGGGGAUGACGUCAAAUCAGCACGGCCCUUACGUCCAGGGCUACACACGUGCUACAAUGGCCGAUACAGAGGGCAGCUACCUGGUGACAGGAUGCAAAUCUCCAAAGUCGGUCUCAGUUCGGAUCGGAGUCUGCAACCCGACUCCGUGAAGUUGGAUUCGCUAGUAAUCGCGCAUCAGCCAUGGCGCGGUGAAUACGUUCCCGGGCCUU
rnacentral:rRNA from 1 species